rnacentral:rRNA from 1 species
CCUACGGGAGGCAGCAGUCGAGAAUCAUUCACAAUGGGGGAAACCCUGAUGGUGCGACGCCGCGUGGGGGAAUGAAGGUCUUCGGAUUGUAAACCCCUGUCAUGUGGGAGCAAAUUAAAAAGAUAGUACCACAAGAGGAAGAGACGGCUAACUAUGUGCCAGCAGCCGCGGUAAUACAGAGGUCUCAAGCGGUGUUCGGAAUCACUGGGCGUAAGGCGUGCGUAGGCUGUUUCGUAAGUCGUGUGUGAAAGGCGCGGGCUCAACCCGCGGACGGCACAUGAUACUGCGAGACUAGAGUAAUGGAGGGGGAACCGGAAUUCUCGGUGUAGCAGUGAAAUGCGUAGAUAUCGAGAGGAACACUCGUGGCGAAGGCGGGUUCCUGGACAUUAACUGACGCUGAGGCACGAAGGCCAGGGGAGCGAAAGGGAUUAGAUACCCCUGUAGUC